rnacentral:rRNA from 1 species
AGCGAACGCUGGCGGUAGGCCUAACACAUGCAAGUCGAACGGCAGCACAGGAGAGCUUGCUCUCUGGGUGGCGAGUGGCGGACGGGUGAGGAAUACAUCGGAAUCUACCUUUUCGUGGGGGAUAACGUAGGGAAACUUACGCUAAUACCGCAUACGACCUACGGGUGAAAGUGGGGGACCGCAAGGCCUCACGCGAUUAGAUGAGCCGAUGUCCGAUUAGCUAGUUGGCGGGGUAAUGGCCCACCAAGGCGACGAUCGGUAGCUGGUCUGAGAGGAUGAUCAGCCACACUGGAACUGAGACACGGUCCAGACUCCUACGGGAGGCAGCAGUGGGGAAUAUUGGACAAUGGGCGCAAGCCUGAUCCAGCCAUACCGCGUGGGUGAAGAAGGCCUUCGGGUUGUAAAGCCCUUUUGUUGGGAAAGAAAUCCUGUCGAUUAAUACUCGGUGGGGAUGACGGUACCGUAAGAAUAAGCACCGGCUAACUACGUGCCAGCCGCCGCGGUAACAC